UACAGAGGUCUCAAGCGUUGUUCGGAUUCAUUGGGCGUAAAGGGUGCGUAGGCGGCGCGGUAAGUCGGGUGUGAAAUCUCGGAGCUUAACUCCGAAACUGCAUUCGAUACUGCCGUGCUUGAGGACUGGAGAGGAGACUGGAAUUUACGGUGUAGCGGUGAAAUGCGUAGAUAUCGUAAGGAAGACCAGUGGCGAAGGCGGAUCUCUGGACAAAUCCUGACGCUGAGGCGCGAAGGCUAGGGGAGCAAACGGG
rnacentral:rRNA from 1 species